rnacentral:rRNA from 1 species
CCUACGGGAGGCAGCAGUAGGGAAUCUUCCACAAUGGGCGAAAGCCUGAUGGAGCGACGCCGCGUGCAGGAUGACGGCCUUCGGGUUGUAAACUGCUUUUAUAUGGGAAGAUUAUGACGGUACCAUAUGAAUAAGAGUUGGCUAACUCCGUGCCAGCAGCCGCGGUAAU